rnacentral:rRNA from 1 species
AGUGGGGAAUAUUGGGCAAUGGGGGAAACCCUGACCCAGCAACGCCGCGUGAGGGAAGAAGGCUUUCGGGUUGUAAACCUCUGUCCCAUGGGAAGAAAUAAAUGACGGUACCAUGGGAGGAAGCCCCGGCUAACUACGUGCCAGCAGCCGCGGUAAGACGUAGGGGGCAAGCGUUGUCCGGAAUUACUGGGCGUAAAGGGUGCGUAGGCGGCAAUGCAAGUCUAAUGUGAAAUCCCCGUGCUUAACAUGGGGAUUGCAAUAGAAACUGUAUAGCUAGAGUGCAGGAGAGGUAAGUGGAAUUCCUAGUGUAGCGGUGAAAUGCAUAGAUAUUAGGAGGAACACCAGUGGCGAAGGCGACUUACUGGACUGUAACUGACGCUGAAGCACGAAAGCGUGGGGAGCGAACAGGAUUAGAUACCCUGGUAGUCCACGCCGUAAACGAUGGAUACUAGGUGUAGGGCCGUCAAGGUUCUGUGCCGUAGUAAACGCAAUAAGUAUCCCGCCUGGGGAGUACGGCCGCAAGGCUGAAACUCAAAGGAAUUGACGGGGGCCCGCACAAGCAGCGGAGCAUGUGGUUUAAUUCGAAGCAACGCGAAGAACCUUACCAAGGCUUGACAUCCCUGUAAAACCACGGAAAAGUGGUGUGAGUAGUUUACUACUCGAUAGGAGACAGGUGGUGCAUGGUUGUCGUCAGCUCGUGUCGUGAGAUGUUGGGUUAAGUCCCGCAACGAGCGCAACCCUUGUAUCCAGUUACCAGCACGUUAAGGUGGGGACUCUGGAUAGACUGCCGUGGAUAACACGGAGGAAGGUGGGGACGACGUCAAAUCAUCAUGCCCCUUAUGCCUUGGGCUACACACGUGCUACAAUGGCCGAAACAAAGGGAAGCGAAAUCGUAAGGUGGAGCGAAACCGGAAAAAUCGGUCUCAGUUCGGAUUGAGGGCUGCAACCCGCCCUCAUGAAGUUGGAGUUGCUAGUAAUCGCGGAUCAGCAUGCCGCGGUGAAUGCGUUCCCGGGCCUUGUACACACCGCCCGUCACACCAUGGGAGUUGAGAGCACCCGAAGCCGGUGAGGAAUCGUCUAAGGUGAGAUCAAUGACUGGGGUG